rnacentral:rRNA from 1 species
GACAGAGGGGGCAAGCGUUGCUCGGAAUUACUGGGCGUAAAGGGCGCGUAGGCGGGAUGGCAAGUCGGUCGUGAAAUCCCUCGGCUCAACUGAGGAUCGUCGACCGAUACUGCCGUUCUUGAGGAUUGCAGAGGAGACUGGAAUUCCCGGUGUAGCGGUGAAAUGUGUAGAGAUCAGGAGGAACACCGGUGGCGAAGGCGGCUUUCUGGACAGAAAC